CAGAUCUGUUUUGGCAUGACAGGGCGUUGACAUGAUAGCACAAACAGAUCUGAAACCAGACUCGUGAGGUGGUGGGUAACUAGUGGGAACUUUUGCAAUGUUAUUGUCAAAUGAAAUAGAAAAUAGGUUUACCUGGACUAAAUCAAAUAUUUCAUGCUUCUCUGCAUAAAUAGCCAUUUCAGGUGGAAUUCUUAGGGGUUUUGCCGUUUCAUCCAUUGCAAUAAGGGACCCCCUGAAAGCCCUCAGACCCCGUUGGUCCUACAUCUAGGCCCUCUGGCUGAGAGAUUGACUGACCAAGCUAGUCGAAGUAAACAAGCUAACGUUACGUGUUUUUUUGCUCUUUGCUAACCAAAAUGCUAACUAACUAGCAAAGUCUGACUCAGUAAAUAUGGCGUUUCGACAAAACUCAUUAACUUGUACAAUUAUUGUACAAUAUCUAAUGAAAUGUGGCUAAGUAGAUAGCUUAGUUUGGAACUGUCUUUGGGAAAACUGUAAAAUAUUUUCUUACCCGCUUAUAACAUGAAUCCAAGUCGCUUGCCAAAGCGCAUUCACACGUUGCUAAGGAAAACGUAAUUGGUGUCAUGUUGCCCAGCAACGUCAGAACGCUCGUUGAUUCGACUUCUCAAGACAACAUUCUGAGACCACAGUGCUUCGUUGUCAAUCAUGUACUACACAUUAGUGUCUAUCAUUUAACAACAUUCUGCGCUAUUUGUAACUUUGUAUCCAAGGAAAAAAUAUUGAUACUGCUCGACUGACUCGGCACAUAGACCCGCAGCAGGUCCUUUUCAUAGCAGCCCUAGAGGUCACACAAGCAUGCUCAUGAUAGGACAGAACCAGUGGCAACAGUCAUGCAGGAGGAGUAGAGGGCUGUUCUGAGGCUCCUGAAGGGCAACAACCAAAGCCCUGGAGGUGUCAUCCUAGACACAGGUUGCUUCUCAGCUACAACAUCAGCAAACUGCAGGUCCGUGUACAUCAAGGACCGAGUUUGACAAUAGACAUGUUACCCACAUGAUAAAGUGAAUCGACUGAGCUGUGACGAGGCCAGGAACUACUACAGUGGUGUGGUAAGCCUUAUCCCACUAGCACUGGAGCUACUGCAAAGGAUGGCCAGUUCCUACACCUACUGCGGCCAGGACACCACAUCUGCUGGGAAUCCUAAUGUGGAUGUGCUUGAGUCCUCAGGAUAGCGAGGUGGGACGGCUGGCUGGUGUGGGAGACGUGUCUUUCAGCCCGACUGGGCACGCUACUGGUGCUCAUAACACUAAGAAGACCCAAGCUAAGAGAACAGGCGCGUGGCAUGCAAUCAAGCCAGCCUGGAGACCUCCGGGCCUCACCACCAGGAUUAGGCCUUUUCCUUCCUGACGGGUCGCCACCAGGUGGUGAGGGUAGGCAACAACACCCCGCUGAUCCUCAACACUGGGGCCCCACAAGGGUGUGUUCUGAGCCCUCUCCUGUACUCCCUGUUCACCCACGACUGCGUGGACACGCACGCCUCCAACUCAAUCAUCAAGUUUGCGGACGACACCAGUGGUAGGCUUGAUUACCAACAACGACGAGACGGCCUACAGGGAGGAGGUGAGGGCCCUCGGAGUGUGGUGUCAGGAAAAUAACCUCACACUCAACGUCAACAAAACUAAGGAGAUGAUUGUGGACUUCAGGAAACAGCAGAGGGAACACUCCCCUAUCCACAUUGAUGGAACAGUAGUGGAGAUUGUAGCAAGUUUUAAGUUCCUCAGCAUACACAUCAGACAAACUGAAUUGGUCCACCCACACAGACAGCAUCGUGAAGAAGGCGCAGCAGCGCCUCUUCAACCUCAGGAGGCUGAAGAAAUUCGGCUUGUCACCAAAAGCACUCACAAACUUCUACAGAUGCACAAUCGAGAGCAUCCUGGCGGGCUGUAUCACCGCCUGGUACGGCAACUGCUCCGCCCACAACCGUAAGGCUCUCCAGGGGGUAGUGAGGUCUGCACAACGCAUCACCGGGGGCAAACUACCUGCCCUCCAGGACACCUACACCAUCCGAUGUUACAGGAAGGCCAUAAAGAUCAUCAAGGACAACAACCACCCGAGCCACUGCCUGUUCACCCCGCUAUCAUCCAGAAGGCGAGGUCAGUGCAGGUGCAUCAAAGCUGGGACCGAGAGACUGAAAAACAGCUUCUAUCUCAAGGCCAUCAGACUGUUAAAUAGCCACACUAACAUUUAGUGGCUGCUGCCAACACACUGACUCAACUCCAGCCACUUUAAUAAUGGGAAUUGAUGGGAAAUGUAAAAUAUAUCACUAGCCACUUUAAACAAUGCUACCUAAUAUAAUGUUUACAUACCCUACAUUAUUCAUCUCAUAUGUAUACGUAUAUACUGUACUCUAUAUCAUCUACUGCAUCCGUAUGUAAUACAUGUAUCACUAGCCACUAACUAUGCCACUUUGUUUACAUACUCAUCUCAUAUGUAUAUACUGUACUCGAUACCAUCUACUGCAUCUUGCCUAUGCCCCUCUGUACCAUCACUCAUUCAUAUAUCUUUAUGUACAUAUUCUUUUUCCCCUUACACUUGUGUAUAAGACAGUAGUUUUGGAAUUGUUAGUUAGAUUACUUGUUGGUUAUCACUGCAUUGUCGGAACUAGAAGCACAAGCAUUUCGCUACACUCGCAUUAACAUCUGCUAACCAUGUGUAUGUGACAAAUAAAAUUUGAUUUUCCUCUAUUUUACAUAAAUCAGCAUUGCAAUAAAGUUUGUUUCUCUUG